ACGCAAUUCAAAUUCUGCACCACAGAUCUCAUCAGUACAAGAUUAAUGUCUCUCUCUCAUUCUCUCUCUCUCUCUUGCUCUCUCGCUUUCUCUCUUUCAUCUCCCUCUCUCACUCCUCUCGCAUUCAUCCCUCUCUCCCACCUCCCUCUCCCUUCUCCUCCCUCUCCCAUACUCUCUUUCAUCUCUCUAUCUCCUCCCUCUCCUUCUUGAGAUUUCACUUCCUGUCAUUCAUCUUCCUAUCUCUCUCUCUCUCUCUCUCUCUCUCUCUCUCUCUCUCUCUCUCUCUCUCUCUCUCUCCCUCACUCUCGCUCUCACUCUCGCUCUCUCUCUUCCUCUCUUCCCUCCUCCCUCCUCCCUCCGUCUCCCUUUUCUCCACUACACUCUCCUCACUCUCUUCUCUGUACCUAUCUCCCUCUCCCUCUACCUCUCUCUCUCUCUCUCUCUUUCUCCCUCCCUCCCUCGCUCCCUCCGUGUCCCUUUGUGUUGUGCUGGAGGUGUGAGGAGGAGGAGGAGGCAGGCGGCGCUGGAUGGAUGUCCUUAUGAAGAGCCGGUCUCCGCGUCGUGUCGACCGACGGAGCACUACAGAGAGGUCCUGACCGCCCCCCAGCGUGGCUCCGUCCUGCCGCCCCAGGAGCUGAUGACCAGACUAUGCUUGCUGCUGGGAGACCCCGCCCACCCAGCGACCAUGGAGGAUCUCAGGGAGAGCAUGUGCCAGGAAGCCAGUCCCAGCUCCACCCUGACCUGUAGCUCCGCCUCCCCGCGAUCGGACAGCCCCACCUCCUCCUCCUCCAACAACAUGAUACCCACUACCGGGGCGCCCCCCUCACCGGGUCCCCAUUCUGGCCCUCCGGCACCCAGCGCCCCCUUUGGGCCCAGGAGUGUCUCGGGGGCCCCUCACCCCGGGCCGGCCCCCAGCCCGGGGCUCUGUCCUGGGGGCAGCCCCUGGCCCGGCCGGAGCCCCACCUCCACCCUGGAGAGCAAGGACAGCGGCAUCAUAGGUACGAGAGGGGGGGUCCCAACGCUGGGUCUUAUCAUAGUAACAACAACACAUUUCAUUUGGAGGCACCUUUCUCGUCCCUCAAAGACAGAACAGAGAAUAAGGACAGAGAAAAUAAUAACAACAGUAUUAGGCGUAGCAAUUGGCAUCAGAUGGAAUAGACAGUUUUGAACAGAUGUGUUCUGAGUUGUGAUUUGGAAAUGGGGGAAUGAAUGGGUCUUCAACCUCAUUCACAUUUACAUUUAGGGCAUUCAGCAGAUGCUUUUAUCCAAAGCGACUUGCAAUAAGUACAUUUGCCAGAUGAAGUUGAAACAAUAUAUAUCACUGUUGGUACAGUAAGGACGUUCAGAGUACCAAGUGCAAAGCAUUAACCAGUAAGUACGUACAUUAAGUGCCAGGACGAACAACAGACAUUAAGUACGAGUGGGUGGGACGAGCUGGUUAUGCAGAGCCAGGUCAAGUAUUUCAAUUUCAUUAUUACAGAGAAUAAUGUAUUUAUAAGACUCUGUAUCAUCCAGACAUGACACUGUUUAGGUUAUUUGUGCCCCUAAAAAGUACACGACAGUGGAGUUGAAGCAGAGAGAGAAUGACGUAAAGCAUAGUACCACCAUUGUAGUCUCCCAGGUGUUUCUGAGUCCCAUAGUGUUUGUGGGGUCUUGCAGGGUUUGUGGGGUCUUGCAGGGUUUGUGG
rnacentral:lncRNA from 1 species